AACUGUGAGAAAAUGCAGGCAGCAUAACCUAUAGUUUGAAGUAAAUCAUAUUAUAAGAAUAAAAAUUAGAAAUUUAAUUUACAAAAUUGCAAGAAUUAAUUAAAGCAAUAACCUUACUUUCAAUUUUUCUAGGUGGAAUGCUGGAUUGGCGAUCUUCCUAUGUUUAGCCCAUUUCUUACCCUCAUGAUCUAGUAUACCAACGUUCAAAUACUUGGCGAUGGAUCUUAGUUUUGGUUUGGGGAAGUCAUCAAUCUUGUUAAAGACAUCCUUAAUUUGAUCAGGGUCUGUGAUGAUAACCCUUGGUAUUGUACCUUCCCAUAAAAAGGAAUUCUUUCCUGCAUAUCCUUUAUGUUAGAACAACAAACCCAACUCUAAAGCAAACAGAUAAAUUAAAGCAUAGGAAUACAAUGCUUGAUUACAAAGUUCUACCAAUUGUGUCUACGUCUCUGAGAGCAAUGUGGCAGUUGUAAUUUUCUAUUGUGCAAUGCUUAAGAUUUACAUAGUACAAGAUGUGUUUAAAUACUUCCCUGCGCUCGUUGCACUUUCAGCUCUUCUGGCUCUGUUAUGCUAGAGCCUCUUCCUACUUAUCAGUGCAUAUAAUUCAUACUUAACACUUCACUUAUCAGUAACUUAUGGAGGACUUGAUAUCAAUUUGUGAUUUAAUAUUAACAUCAAUCAAGUCCGUAUCAUGUUUGGUCCUUGCAUCUGAUAAUAUAAACACAAACUCCUCCAGAACUCCGUUCUUUUCUUUUCAGUUACACAGGCAUAUUAACUAUGGCAUCAAAAAAUCAAAUCUCUAGACAUUUCUGAUUUUCUUGUUAAUAUCAGAUAUUCAAACAAAGUUUUAAAAAGUGUCUGUGACUGUGAUUUGAGUUGCAAUAUCAAAAUUUUGGAUAUUUCUUUGACCACAAUGGAGGCCACAUCAACUACACAUCACCACAAUAUCAAUGAUAGCACAUUGAUUGAGUUAUAAAUGGUGGACAACUUGUUAAGCUAGCUUCUGCACUGAGCUAGGACAACUCCCAAAUUCGAAGUCUAUCCUAAGGGCCGACUUUCUCCACUCCAAGUUUCUAAAAAUCCACAAAUAUUUUUGGAAAUGUACUUCCGGAAAACAUAUUUUGUCCGGCUUUCGAACAAACACAAAAUUCAUGCCUUUUUCCUACUGUAUACGUCUAGGGGUUGUGAAUAGUUCCUUCCUUAUCAUGAAUCUGUUGUCGGGGGUAGGGCUUUUUUUAAAUGACAGAUGUUAGGAUGUUGAUUGUUAGGUUAGUAUGUUCUCCUCAAACCUGACUUUAACUCCUCUUAGCUCAACCAAGUGAGCUACCCAUCCCUCCAAAGGGAGGUAGGGCUUGUUUUUCUUUUAUAAAUUAUACGCAAGCUAUAAAAUAUUGGCUUAAAUGUAUUUUUUACCCUUUAACUUUUAGAUUGGUGUAUAAACAAAAUAGAAAGUAAGAUUAGUAUAUGUACCAUAUUUGUGUACAGUUUGAUGAAUAGGAGUGAAGAUAGACGGUGCAGCUUCUUUGGAGAGACCAAUGGAUUUAGAUUUAUCUUCUUGUUGCAACUUCAACAUAUAAUUUUGUCUUGAUUUAUCCUUAAAUACUGAAAGGUUAUAUGGUUCACCUUGAAAACCUUGAGCUUUGAGAAGUUUCUCAAACCUCUUUGGCUUAAGCCAUAACUUGUUGAGAAGAUACCAUGGAAUCACAGCAAGUAGAACUGACAGAACAGAGAUGAUUAUUGUUGUUCCUGUGGGAAACACAAACACCUCCAUUUUAUGUUUUUGUCUUGGAAUUGGAUUGUGUCUUGUUGUGUUGUGUAAAAAGGUCAUUAAAGAGAUAUCUAAGGUGGUGGGGUCAUUCAAGUUCAACAGGGACACGUACACGUCUUUUCCAUUUUCCAUGUUGAAAAAAUAAGAGAGAGAAAAGAAAGGCUGAUGCCUGAUUGUCUCAAUUUAGUGUCUUAAUUAUAAUUUAUAUUAAUUUGGUCUCCUAUAUUUUUUACUAGUUUUAGUCCUUUAUGGUAGUUUCUCUAUAAAAAAAACGUUAACUUAUGUAUUAAAUUGAUCCCCGUUUUGCUUCGUUUUUAAUUUUAGUCCUUUCUGUUCACUUUUUUUUUGAGAGAAACUAAUGGAAAGUAUUAAAACCAGUAACGGAGCAAAUCAUAGAGGACCAAAUUAAUACAAAUUAUAGUUAGGGGAUCAAAUUGAGAGUGAUUUAACAAGCAAAAAAAACUUACCACUCUAAUAGUAAUAUAUCUAUUAAAAAAAGUGUUCGAUGUAUCUAGUUUACAAUAUUAUUUAUUAAAUAAAUUUACAAAGUUUGUACAUAGAAAAUAGGGUUAAUUAUAGAAAUUGAAUAUAUGUUAAGUUUAAAAAUGAUCUUGUAAAAUAAAAAGUAUAUAUUUUAAUAUUGUAAUUUGAGAUUCUUAUUAUUUUUGACUUUGUAAUAUAGUUGAAGUCCAAAAAAUUAUUUAGAGAUUGAAUUUUUUCAUGAUUUUUUUCACGUAUGUUUGGGACGUUAAAAUAUGACUUUACACAAAAAAAAUAAAAAAUUUCAACCGUGGAUGAAUCAAUUAUGAAUUUUUAAAGCGCCAAAAACUCAAAAAACAGAACAACGAAAACUUCAAUCUAGAAAUUGAAUUUUGAGUUGAUUGUUUGCAGAGACAUAUGCAGAUAUACAUAAAAAAGAUCUACAAAGUUUGGUACCAUUUUAAAGACGUUUCAAUUUAUUUUUAUUUUCAACCAAAACGUGUGAAAUAACAAUUUUGUUCCGGGUAAACGUAUACUCAUAGAUCAGGUUCAGUUCUCUAAUUUUGUAGGCAUGGUUAAAAUUUCAUAAGAACAUUCACCAUUAAAAUUAAAUUUUGGAGUUUUUAAACGAGAUACGAAUUAAUUAUGAAUUGUUUAAGAAAUUUUAUAGUUAUGGGAAAUAAAAAUUUGUCCCUAGUCUGAAAAAAUAUAUAUUUUUUUUUUUUGGUGUAAAAUCAUGUUUUAACAUCCUAAAGAUGCUUUUGAUUUGUUCAAAAAAAACAUCCUAAAGAUGCAUGGAAAAAAAAUCAUUAAAAAAUUCAAUCUCUACACCAUUUUUUCGGACCAUGCCUAUAUUAUAGGGUCAAAAAUAAGAAGUAUCUCAAAUUACAAGUUUGGAAUAUGUAUUUUUUUAUUUUACAAUGUCAUUUUUCAGACAUCGCAUAUUUCACAGAGUCAAAAUUAAAUAAUUAACCAAAAAUAAUAAUAUAAAAAGUAAACUUUCUUUUAUAAUACAUAUCGAAGAGACAUGUGUCUAAAUACCACAUGUGCCCGCGGCAAGAUAGUGGGUAUACACCGUUGCGGGUAAGGUUCCCUCGGUUAUUUGAGUUGGCGGUGGAGAAGGAGACUAAGGUCGAGGAGAUGAGGAGGAGGGGGUGGGACGUUAAUGGCAGGGCGUGGGUGUGGAGACGUCGUUUGUUUGUUUCGAAGGAGGAGAGUGUGAGGGAGUGUGCAACUCUUUUAUGCAACAUUGUUUUGCAGGACACUGUUCAAGACUCUAGGAGGUGGUUACUAGAUCCGGUUCAAGGGUAUUCGGUGAAAGCAUCAUAUCGUUUUAUUACAGAAACAGGCGCUACUGCGGACAGGUCUUAGGUUGAUGUUGUUUGGCCAAAGCAUGUACCGUCAAAGGUGUCUUUAUUGAUGUGGCGUCUUCUCCGCAACCGGCUUCCUACUAAAGAUAAUUUGGUUCAACGGGGUAUUCUUAUUCCAAGAGAUGGCAUGUGUGUGGGUGGUUGUAAUGUUAUAGAAUCAGCUACUCACCUUUUUUUAGCAUUGUAAUACUUUUAGUGCCUUGUGGUCUAAUGUGAGGACUUGGUUGGGAAUUUAUUCGAUGUUUCCUAGUGAGCUUCGACAACAUUUUAUUCAGUUUACCAGGAUGUCUUGCUUGCCAAGGUCGGUACAUUUAUUCUUAACAGUUAUUUGGUUUGCUACUAUUUGGGUGACUUGGAAGGAACAAAAUUAUCGUAUGUUUCAAAACACAACAGCUACUUCAUCGAUCAUUCUUGAAAAAGUCAAGUUGGAUUCUUUUUUAUGGUUGAAAUCUAAACAGGUAGCAUCUUGUGCGAUUUGAAAACACCUUUUAAUGGGCAAUUUGACAUUGUAAUUUUGUAACUUUGGUGGUGUGUCUCUUUUGCGCAUCUUUGUGCGAUUGAAAACACCUUUAAGUAUAUAUAUAUAUCAUUUUGAUUUGUUAAAAAAAUAUAUAAUGGAUAGUUUGUUUUGAAUUUUUUUAAAGAAAAAAAUUUAUUUUAUAAACAAAAAACGACUUUUAUGAUUUGUAGUGUUUUUUUUUUUAAGAUAUUUCAUUUUGUUUUUUGCUAUGAACUUGAAGAAAUUAUAAAUAGUCAUUCAAAUUCAAGCAUUAUCACAUACACUUUAAAGGUCUUUAAAUGUUAUAAUGUGGCUUAGGUUAAGACAGAAUAUAUUUAAAAAAGUAGCCUAACAAAAGAUGUGGAUUUAGAUACAAGCUACAAAUCUUCAAGAACGAAAAAGUACUACCAAAAUUUUAUUUCUUGGUUUUCCUUUUUUUCUUUUUUUUGUGUUGACCAAUUUUUGAUAGUUUAGUCUGCAAUUAUUUUUUUCUUUUUUCAUUUUUUUUAUUAGGAAAAUAUUUAUUCCACUAUUCUUGAUAUGUCCGUCUGCAUAUGAUAAGAUAUUUAUUCCACUUUGAUCCUUGACAAAAUCCAAAUCAUUGCAGCAAGAUCAGCAGCUAUCUAUUAUGAUCUCAAAUAACACCUCAUCCAGGAAAAAAAGUGACAACCAACAAGCAUCAACAUCAAAAAAAAUUGACAACCUCGUCCAGGAAAAAAAAUCAUAUUGGAGCAAUAUUAAUUCAUAAACAACCCAACCUUCAUAUUGGAGCAAAAUUUGUCCAAAUUCAUAAACUCAUACCUGUGGUUUCUUAUACAAAUCAAUAUGUCUUAAUUUAAAGAAACUCAUGUUUACAGAUAAAUCACCUAAAAGAGUAAAGCUACUGAAUAACUCCAUUGGAUGUGCUCUUACAGUUUAUGCAAAAUGAUGCUUGCACCAUUUUUUGGCGUCAAAGUAAGCACAGUGGUGGGAACAUGCACAUAAUUUGGAGAAAGUUCGAAUGAGAAAUUCUGCAGCAGCAAUGAAAUUGCUAUCUUUGCUUCUAGUAAGGCAAAGUUUUGUCCAAGACAAAUUCUAGGACCCCAUCCAAAAGGGAAAUAAGAAACUUUUCCUUUUGUAGCCUUUGCAAUUCCUUCAGCAAACCUUUCAGGUUUGAACUCCUUUGCAUCAUCACCCCAUAGAUCAUGAUCUUGGUGAAUCAAUAGUAUUGGUAGGGAAAUUUGUGUUCCUUCAGGUAGCGAAACGUUUCCAAGUUUCAAAUCCUUUCGAAGAGCUCGGUUGAAGUAAAUUAAAGGUGGGAAUAACCUUAGUACCUCAUACAAAAUCAUGGUAACCUAUAAAAACAAAAACAAUUAUUAGAUAGUACCAAAAAGGAUUAAGUAUUAAUAAUCAUCAAAAUGAAAUUUGAACAAUACAUACAAUUUUAAGUUGAUUUAAUCCUUCGAUGUUUGGAUUUUGGUUCCCAAAAACUUGCAAAACUUCCUGCCUUGCACGUGCUUGCCAUUCAGGAUACCUGCCUAAUAACACCAUUGUCCAAACCAGCAAACUUGAGGUGGUCUCUUGCCCAGCAAUGUAAAACAAUUUGCAUUCAUCUAUCACAUCUUGGGUGGUCAUCCCAUUACUCUUACUAUUUCCAUGUCCUUGUUUUUCGGCAUGAUUUGAUUGCAAAAGAAUGCCUAAUAAAUCGUCAUUGGUGGGUUCACCAUUCUUCAGUGCUUUUUCUCGCUUUUCAAUGAUUCCCUCAAGUGAAUCAUGGAUUUCUCUAUCAAUUUCUUUCAUCUUCGUCUUGGUAGUUGUUGCUAGAAGCCUAGAAAACACAUUUAUCUAGUGAUGUUAAAUGUGAAGGAACACACUUGGUUCAUAAAUGCAACACAAUUCAUUUCAUUAGGUACUAUGGAUUAAGUCUAACUCAACCGUACAUAUUAGUCGUGUAAAAUGAGUGGUUCCCUUGUUUAUAAACUUUUUUCAGACUUUUUUUUUAAGUGGGGCUUGGGAUUUUGUAAAGUGUUUAAAGUUUUCAAUUUGUCAAAUGUACCAAAAUAAUAUAUUGUAGUCAUACCCCCAUAAUGGAUUGUUCGUUUGUCGCCCUGUCAUCAAAAGAAAUCCCUGCUUCUUUAGAAGUUGAAAUAGUUUUUCUCCUUCUGCGUAGCUGCUUCCAAAUGCCGUCCGAGAAAUUACAUCACAGGUAAAAUUCUGAAGGAAAGGCCAAACAUCAACCUCACAUGUUCCAUCUGAUGACAAUAGUUCCUUCCAUUUACUAAUCAUUUCAUUGCAACUGUAAGAAAAUGCAGGUAGCAUACCCUAUAGUUUGAAGUAAAUCAUAUUAUAAGAAUAAAAAUUAGAAAUUUAAUUUGCAAAAUUGCAAGAAUUAUUAAAGCAAUAACCUUACUUUCAAUUUUUCUAGGUGGAAUGCCGGAUUGGCGAUCUUCCUAUGUUUAGCCCAUUUCUUACCCUCAUAAUGUAUUAUACCAACGCUCAAAUACUUGGCGAUGGAUUUUAAUAUUGGUUUGGGGAAGUCCUCGAUCUUGUUAAAGACUUCCUUAAUUUGAUCAGG
rnacentral:lncRNA from 1 species